rnacentral:rRNA from 1 species
GGACGGUACCUUUCGAGGAAGCCACGGCUAACUACGUGCCAGCAGCCGCGGUAAUACGUAGGUGGCGAGCGUUGUCCGGAAUUAUUGGGCGUAAAGGGAGCGCAGGUGGGAAAGUAAGUCAGUCUUAAAAGUGCGGGGCUCAACCCCGUGAUGGGAUUGAAACUACUUUUCUUGAGUGCAGGAGAGGAAAGCGGAAUCCCUAGUGUAGCGGUGAAAUGCGUAGAUAUUAGGAGGAACACCAGUGGCGAAGGCGGCUUUCUGGACUGUAACUGACACUGAGGCUCGAAAGCGUGGGGAGCGAACAGGAUUAGAUACCCUG